rnacentral:rRNA from 1 species
GAACGCGAAGAACCUUACCCGGGAUUGAAAUGUAGAUGACCGCUCCUGAAAGGGAGUUUUCCUUCGGGACAUCUAUGUAGGUGCUGCAUGGUUGUCGUCAGCUCGUGUCGUGAGAUGUUGGGUUAAGUCCCGCAACGAGCGCAACCCUUAUUACUAGUUGCCAGCAUUGAGUUGGGCACUCUAGUGAGACUGCCGGUGACAAACCGGAGGAAGGUGGGGAUGACGUCAAAUCAUCAUGCCCUUAUGACUUGGGCUACACACGUGCUACAAUGGAUGGUACAACGAGCAGCGAACUCGCGAGGGUAAGCGAAUCUCUUAAAGCCAUUCUCAGUUCGGAUUGUAGGCUGCAACUCGCCUACAUGAAGCCGGAAUCGCUAGUAAUCGCGGAUCAGCACGCCGCGGUGAAUACGUUCCCGGGUCUUGUACACACC